rnacentral:rRNA from 2 species
UCUGACCUCAAAUCAGGUAGGACUACCCGCUGAACUUAAGCAUAUCA